rnacentral:rRNA from 1 species
UACGUAGGGUGCGAGCGUUAAUCGGAAUUACUGGGCGUAAAGGGCGCGUAGGCGGUUCGCUAAGUUGAAUGUGAAAACUCUGGGCUUAACCCAGAGCCUGCAUUCAAUACUGGCGGGCUAGAGUUCUGGAGGGGAUAGCGGAAUUCCUGGUGUAGCGGUGAAAUGCGUAGAUAUCAGGAGGAACACCGGUGGUGUAGACGGCUCACUGGACCGUAACUGACGCUGAGACACGAAGCGUGGGUAGCAAACAGG